CCCACAGCUGCAGGAGAGAACAUCCUCCUCUCCCUUAAUAGUGCCAUUACGGCUGUCACCCAUGAAUUUUGCUAAAACCUUUCGGGAAAUUGUUUAUAUUUUCAGCUGAACAACCUCUUGGGGUAAUGAGUUUCCAUAACAACUAAUGGGUGGCCAGCGUGCUUCCGCCCUGGGCUGGGGACCGCGUGCUCUUUGAUUCGCAUCAGCAGCGGCUGAUGGCCCCUCAAGUGGUUCCUGUUUGCUGUCUCCCAGCAUUGCGGCAGGAGUGUCAACACCAGCCCAAUUAGACGUGCUGAUUGCUGAUUGGCUCUGGCAAGCCUGUGCCACAGAUUAGGAAAACACAUUGAAGCAAUGCUGAAGGGGCAAUAGGAGUGGAAGGAGGUUAUCGAGUAUGAAACAGUACCCUUGAUACAGUGGGGAGAGGAGUGUUUCUCCACUUGGAAUUAUAAUCACAACCUUAAACACAAGUUUCGACCGCCAACUGACUGCUGCCUCCCUCUCUCACCAAGGGCUGGAGGCCACUGCAGAGCAAGACAAGGUGGGUCUGGCACAAGAUCCAUCCUAAAUCCAGCGAGAACAAAGAAGGCUCAGCAUCCUCCCCUGUGGCUGAUCCUGCUAUAAUGCUCCCUGGCAAGCUCAAUGCUUUGUGUCAUUCUGGAGCUCGGGGAAAGGUGAAAAAUACCAUGCAUCCAUGUUAGCUAUUAAAGCACGAGGAGUCCCUGAGUGUAUUUACAGGGGGGAGUUGGCGAGGGAAAGGCAAUUCCAUUAAACAAAGGGCAGGACACAGAGGAAGUUUGGAAGGAGGGUCGAUGGCUGAAAUGCUUCAUCCAAAUACAAUUCCGUCUCCCACCUGGAGGCUGCAGAAAAGCUGUGUCCAGCAAGAGAUUUACAACCCCAAGCAUUGCCUCCACUGGGUAAUAAACUGUGCUCUCUAAUCAAUAUCAGCGCUGGGCUGUCUGUCUGCAGCAUAGAUUCCCAUUUAGCAAAGCCACUGAGUAAUGGAAAACGCAAUCGAGUUGCAUAAUGAGUCUGGGUAAUUGGAUGGACUGGGCAGAAUGGUCCAGCUAAGUAUAUUCAGUCCGGCACAUUAAUUAAAAACUUGACACUUCAAGCGCCACCCAAAGUGCCCCAUUAAUUAUUCUGUGAAUCCAAAGGUCAGAUGUAGUGGAUGAGUUACAAGACGAUGAUAAAAUUGCUUGGCUCCGGGGCCAUCACAAGAGCAUGCAUUGCACCGAGGCCUGGACUCACCUGUAGCUUCAGUGGGAGUUGAACAGGCAGCCCUCUUCGCACUGGUGCCCUGCCAGUGCCGGAUCCAAGAGGAAGGACUGAGGCUGCCCAAGGUGCUGACACCAGCGCGGCCCUGCUUGUGAGUGAGCUCGCCCAUCUCCGCUUUCAUCUCAGAGAUCUGCAGGCACAGACAGGUAAAGGAAUUUGCCCACAGUCAGAAAUCAGCAGAUGAGAAUUCAAACCCAGACCGUGAAGAAUCAGAGCCACAGCAAGGUUAUUACAUGCAAGGAGAAACAAAUUUUGUGCUUAAAGUAAAAAGCAGAGUGGCAUUUCUUCUGUAAUGUAAGCAGCUGUGUGACUUUGGGCAAGUUGCUUCACCUCUGUAGGCCUCUGUUUGCCUGUCUGUAAUAAACAGAUCCCCCAUCUCUGGGACUUCAAAAGAGGAGAGGACGGUCAGCAGGGGUGGCCUGCUCAGAAGGGCCAUACUUCAUCCCCAAUGUCCCUCAACAACUCCAAGGGCAAUGCCACCCCAGACCUCACUGCCAGGCCUUCCAGAGUCCAACAAACUCGUGUCCCAUGACCACAGCUUGUUCCCUUGAUCUAUGUGCACCUGGGGAUGCUGGUGGCUGGGAGGUGAGUUCAUGAGGCCUCAGAUCCGCCCUUGAAGUCAGUACUGUCAUUCACCCAUUCUUCAGACGAGGACACAGAGGCCUGGGAAGAGUCAGCAAGGACAGAAGCUGGGUUCACAGCCCCUCAGGCCAGCUCCAGAGGCCUCAAUCUUCACCAGCAAUGUGCCUCUGGGCUUGAGAAGAUUGGACAGGAAGAACACAGGAAGCUCCAAGAAAAAAGAACUGAAACUGCACCAAGAGUCAAUGAUCUGCUGCCUCCUCAGACGUGCAGCAAUCUGACAACAUCCAUCAAAAUUAAAAGCGCGUGCACCCUUGACUUCACAAUGGCCUUCUAGGAAUUUACCCUCCCAACGCACUAGUGCACGUGUCUAAGAUACAAGGUUCUGCCGUAGCAGAACUGCUUACGGCAAUGAGUUUAUGGCCGCCCACACCCCCAGCCUCAAGUGAGGAGGCUCCAACUCCACAGCAGGUUGGCAGGGGCUGAGCUGUGCCCCUCCACUCAAUGGAAAUAUUUCCUGGACCAAAACGGAACUGCACCAGGGACCAAGACAGACAGGACCUCCUCCACCCCGUGGAAGGUAACAUGGAGAGAGGUCCCAGUGGAUCCACCAGAGAAAAGGAAUGUCCAUCUUAUCUUUCACCUAGAGUGGGAUCCAGUGCAAACCAGCACACACAGGAGGAUCCACUGUAGUUGCUGGAAUGUAAGAUGGACAUACCGUGUGUGUAUGUAUGGGAAACUUCUGGAAAAUGCAAUGUUGGGAUGAAGGAGGUAGGAGGCUUUUUCUUCCUAUUCUUAUGUCCUUCAGUCAUGGUUCAUUUGGUUUUGCACUCUCAUGAGCAUAUAUUAUUUUAUACUUAAAAAAAAGGGAUUGCAUUUCAAAACUUCCAUGACCAGCUCUGAAGUCAGUGGAUCAGAGGGAAUUCCCUGCUCACUCCUGGAACAGACCCCCUGCCCGACCUCCCUGGGCUCUGAGGGAACCACACCAGGACCAAGUUCAGAAGCUGACAGAUGCCAGUCAGUGAGCCCCAAGUCCGUGCUCUGAGCCUAGCUAGCACUCAAGCUUAGGACAGCAUAACUAUUUAUUUAACUGAUGGCUGCUGUCUUCAUUCAAAUGAUGCUUGCCGUGUUAGAAAUGAAUGCCCAUUGACUCUGUCACUGUGACAAAGUGCACCUGUGUUUAUCCCUCUGCUGCCAAGUCUGCAUGUUCAAUAUUUUGUCCAUCAAUUUUUAACUUUUUUAAAAAAUGGGACUUUGGUGAGGGAAUGAAGAGGCCAUCACUUUCCCAGGCAGAUAGCCUUUCUGCCUCCAUCCUCUCCUGGGGUUCUGCUUGAAGCCUGGUAGAGUCACAUCCCCAUGGGCCUUGACACUCAGAGGCCAUGCUCUCCCAAAGCUCUGGCUUUCUAACAGCCAGGGGACACUCCUGCUUGGGCUGAGACUUGUGCAGCUCUAGUAGGAAUGUCCCUCUGUGCUUAGAAAACACCCAAAGCUUGCCACGGCAUCCAGGCUGCCUACUGCACCCCUCACUCAGCCUUCUUGGGCCACCAGGUGCCCAUUCCAUGCCAAGCUUUGUCUCCUCAACAAAGUUGCUCUGCUUGAGCCAGUGAAUUCUGUCUCCAGGAGGCUGUGUCAUGGCUUUGUCUUCUACAAGCUCAUGCCCUGGAGGGAAGGACAGAGUGACUCUGACAUGUCAGCCCAUUCAGUCAUUCAUUCCUCAACUCUAAUAAAUUUCCUGCUGAGUGUCAGGUACUGGACUGGAUUUGGGGAAUCUGGUGAUGAACACAUCAGAUGGGGCCGGGCGCAGUGGCUCACACCUGUAAUCCCAGCACUUUGGGAGGCCGAGGCAGGAAGAUCACUUGAAGCCAGAGUUCAGGACCAGCCUGGCCAACAUGCUGAAACCCCGUCUCCACUAAACAUAAAAAAAUUAGCCAAGUGUGGUGGCGCAUGCCUGUAAUCCCAGCUACUCGGGAGGCUGAGGCAGGAGAACCGCUUGAACCCAGGAGGCAGAGGUGGCAGUGAGCCGAGAUCACACCACUGCACUCCAGCCUGGGCCUGUCUCCAAAAAAAAAAAAACAGAAAAAAAACACCACACACACACACUCUCCCCACAGGGCUCAGCUCAGUGAAGGAGCAGUGGGAAGGAGAAGGGUUUCCCUAGUGCAACCAGAGCUCCUGGUGAACACCCUUGCCCUGCCUCCCGCCCCACCUCCACUGCAGUGCCAGAAGCAAAAUGGUGCCCAGCACAGGCAAACAGCCAGGGCCAGAUGGAAGAGAGGGCUGCCAAGGAGCUGCAGACGUUGAGCAGCUUCCUGGGGCUGCAGUAUAGGAUCCCGGGCUGCACUGACACCACUGCAGGUGGUGUUUCCUGUCCUGUUUCCAGCACUGCCACACUGCCAGUGCUUACUGGCACUCCCUUGGGGACACGUUCCUUGACUCCAGUUCUCCAGGACCUUGUUUGCCCUUAACUUCUCAGGGCCUCUACUUCCUUAUUUGAAUACUGGGAUGGAAACAGCUGCCAUUUUGAGUGUCACUGCAUGCCUGGCUGUCUGCUAAGCCCUCUCUGUGCCUUGCCCCUGUGGGGCACCCCAGCAACCUGCAUGAUGGGCUACGCCUUUGCCCCCACAACACAAUGAAGAAACGAUAUCCUGAUCCCUCCACCAGGAUGGGAUGAGGACUGACUGAGAUGGUGUGUGAGAAAGCCUGGGCUUGCCUUGGGAAGGCCCAGUGACAGCUUCCUUCCUUCCUUCUGAAGGAUCUGCUGGAGGGCACAUGCCCGCCCACAUCUGGUUAGCGUGAAAUACACCAUCGAUGACCUGACCCUGCAGCUCCCACCACGUCUGGGAUGUGGCCUUGGAGGAGUGCCCAGAGGGCUCCCCUCUAGAAUUCUAGCACUGUGCCAUAAGUAACCCCAGAUGCAGGUCCCCUGGAUCUUCACAGAGCAACUCCAAGCCCACCCCCAGGACACCACGUGGCAGCCACAGGGGCCAACCUCCACCCUCUGGAGGAAACCCCCUGGUAUUUCUUCAUGGCCUUUAGUUCCUUAGAAUGUGAGCCCUGGUUCCUAUGAGCAGGAGGAAACGGAGAGAGAAGAGACAGGACAGGACAGAGGGGAGAGAGAGGAGAGAGGGGAGAGAGAGA
rnacentral:lncRNA from 1 species